rnacentral:lncRNA from 1 species
GUAAAACUAUCAUCAAGGAAAUCUUAGAUCAGGUAUUUGUUGGAGUUGUAAUGUGUGUGGCUUGGUUUCAGUUUCAGUAAUAUUGAUCAUGACUUCAUUUUCUUUACUUUCAUUUGGUUUUAUUGGCGAGGGGGUUUUAGCUGGUUUAAAGGUGUAAUAAUUAAUGUUGGGUUGUGUAUAUUGGAUAUCAAAUUGUGGAACUUCAUAGUCAUCUUCCAAGUAUAAUGGGUCAAGAUAUUCGUUAAAGACGGCAGAGUAGGGAUCCAUG